UGUUGCCUAGCAACGCGAGUGCCGGGAAUUCUGAGGUACAGUUACUAACGCUAGUUAUUUUUGCUGAUAUUUAAAAGUUACAUCAAAAUUAGCUAUUUGAGCCAACGAACAACUCAUUAUUUAAACUUAACAUGGCAUUUUGUUCACAAGUGUCCAGCGGUAGAUGCCCGCUUUGCUUCGGGUGAGCAAGACCUAACGUGAAAAGCUUGCUGGUGUAGCUGUGUGAGCUCUAUAAAGGCCCGUUUGCCUCCCUGAAAGUAAAACCUGAGGCAUUAGUGUUCAUAUCUCUGCGUGGGACGUGCAUCGAGAGUCAACAUGGUGAAACGUGAGAUGUUGGACAUUCUUCAGAAGGUGUGGAUCAAACUGCAGGAUCUCCCACAUGCCAGUCCUCUGGAGAUGGGAGCCUUCUUUGUGGUCAUCCUGUUUAUUGCCACGUUUCUCUUGUUGAUUGUGCUGUCCUGCUUCCACUGCUGCUGCUGUGGAAAGUCAAAAUACCAGGCCACCAGAGUACAGCCUGUCUAAGGAUGAGACAGAGAACACACUCCAGCCUUUCUUCCAUCCUUCAUCACCCACACUCACCGUUACAUAACCGGAAACGCUCCUUUUCAGAGUCAUUGAUUUCUUGGAGGAAAUCAUACAAAUAAAAUUCAUCAACUCAAGGAUGGGGACUUAUUUGCAUAAUAUGUCCAGUUUUGGGACAAAGACUGGAUGUACAUUCCAGAGAGAGAGCCAUGCCACUGGAAUCCAUAUAAAGCAGAAGAGUGGCACGACUCAUCAAGAUUCAUUUCAGACCAGUACAAUGCAACACUGUGUGGCAGCCUUGUACUACUACAACAACAACGACAACAUCAACAACAACACUGGAGCAAGGGAUUAAAAAAGGAAGAGGAAGAAAGCUGAUUUGUAUUUGAAUGUCACAGUGACUCCGUUAUUAGAAUAAACUGGUUUGUUAUCCUGUUGAUAUUCAUCAAGGAUAUGAAAAACAACAUGGAAUACGUACAGACAUUUUAACUUGCAUUUGUAUAGAAACUUCCCAAUGUAAAAAGACAGUGCGCCCUCUGCUGGCUCGGUGAAGAGUGACUUGUUUUUUUUUGUUAAUU